rnacentral:rRNA from 1 species
AUUGAACGCUGGCGGCAGGCCUAACACAUGCAAGUCGAGCGGAUGAAGGGAGCUUGCUCCUGGAUUCAGCGGCGGACGGGUGAGUAAUGCCUAUGAAUCUGCCUGGUAGUGGGGGAUAACGUCCGGAAACGGGCGCUAAUACCGCAUACGUCCUGAGGGAGAAAGUGGGGGAUCUUCGGACCUCACGCUAUCAGAUGAGCCUAGGUCGGAUUAGCUAGUUGGUGGGGUAAAGGCCUACCAAGGCGACCAUCCGUAACUGGUCUGAGAGGAUGAUCAGUCACACUGGAACUGAGACACGGUCCAGACUCCUACGGGAGGCAGCAGUGGGGAAUAUUGGACAAUGGGCGAAAGCCUGAUCCAGCAAUGCCGCGUGUGUGAAGAAGGUCUUCGGAUUGUAAAGCACUUUAAGUUGGGAGGAAGGGCAGUAAGUUAAUACCUUGCUGUUUUGACGUUACCAACAGAAUAAGCACCGGCUAACUUCGUG